GACGAACGCUGGCGGCGUGCCUAAUACAUGCAAGUAGAACGCACAGUUUAUACCGUAGCUUGCUACACCAUAGACUGUGAGUUGCGAACGGGUGAGUAACGCGUAGGUAACCUGCCUGGUAGCGGGGGAUAACUAUUGGAAACGAUAGCUAAUACCGCAUAAUAUUGAUUAUUGCAUGAUAAUUGAUUGAAAGAUGCUAUUGCAUCACUACCAGAUGGACCUGCGUUGUAUUAGCUAGUAGGUGAGGUAACGGCUCACCUAGGCGACGAUACAUAGCCGACCUGAGAGGGUGAUCGGCCACACUGGGACUGAGACACGGCCCAGACUCCUACGGGAGGCAGCAGUAGGGAAUCUUCGGCAAUGGACGAAAGUCUGACCGAGCAACGCCGCGUGAGUGAAGAAGGUUUUCGGAUCGUAAAGCUCUGUUGUAAGAGAAGAACGGGUGUGAGAGUAGAAAGUUCACACUGUGACGGUAUCUUACCAGAAAGGGACGGCUAACUACGU
rnacentral:rRNA from 1 species